GAUGAACGCUAGCUACAGGCUUAACACAUGCAAGUCGAGGGGAAACGACAUCGAAAGCUUGCUUUUGGUGGGCGUCGACCGGCGCACGGGUGAGUAACGCGUAUCCAACCUGCCCACCACGUUGGGGAUAACCUUGCGAAAGUAAGACUAAUACCCAAUGAUAUCCCACGAAGGCAUCCGAAUGGGAUUAAAGAUUUAUCGGUGAUGGAUGGGGAUGCGUCUGAUUAGCUUGUUGGCGGGGUAACGGCCCACCAAGGCAACGAUCAGUAGGGGUUCUGAGAGGAAGGUCCCCCACAUUGGAACUGAGACACGGUCCAAACUCCUACGGGAGGCAGCAGUGAGGAAUAUUGGUCAAUGGGCGAGAGCCUGAACCAGCCAAGUAGCGUGAGGGAUGACUGCCCUAUGGGUUGUAAACCUCUUUUGUUUGGGAAUUAAAGUGCGCCACGUGU
rnacentral:rRNA from 1 species